rnacentral:rRNA from 1 species
CUGCUGCCUCCCGUAGGAGUCUGGUCCGUGUCUCAGUACCAGUGUGGGGGACCUUCCUCUCAGAACCCCUACGCAUCGUUGCCUUGGUGGGCCGUUACCCCGCCAACUAGCUAAUGCGCCGCAUGCCCAUCCUCCGCCGGAAUCGCUUCCUUUUAACACCCGUGGGAUGCCCCACAGAUGUACCACGCGGUAUUAGUCCGGAUUUCUCCGGGUUAUCCCCCUGCGGAGGGCAGGUUGCAUACGUGUUACUCACCCGUGCGCCGGUCGCCGG